GCCCCAUCAAAUCCAUCUCAUUUACAUAGGGCUAGCCGGUGAAGGCGGCGGCGCCGCUGCCGUCACGGUCGACGGCGAAGCGGUAGGGGUUGCUGCGGCCUGCGUGUGAUGCGGUGGGUGUAUCCUUUUGCGAUGGGUGUGGUACUGGGUGCAGGAUUCCCGUGGAUCUAUCUCGUGUAGAACGGUCAGCAGCCUCCCGUUCGUAGUCAAUCCGCUUACUGAGAAAAGCUCAAUCUUUGUUCAUUAUCUGCUGCUCAUGUAUUCUUCUUCUUACGGUGAUAGGAAAGUAUGGCCUGUAAUAAGCGGAAAACUUAGGGUCUAGUACUCUUUUCCAUCACACGGCUGUAGAUUCAGAUGAAUUUAGGUGCUAGUGUUUUCUGAAUUUUUGUUUCUCAUCACUUGCCUAUAUCCAUGCGUCACCUCUGAUCAGUUUAGAUGCUAGUAUUCUUUUCCAGGCCAUGCGCUGCCUUGUUCUUUUCUAGACAAACCCAAGCAUAAUUGUUUGUUGAAAGUAUAGUGUAUACCAAUCUGUUUAAUGUAUUGAUCAGUUUUGGCACGUGACAUGUAAUGCAUAACAUAAACAAAUUCAAGUGUUCUUAUGUUUGCAGUUUCAUAACCACAAACAUGCUAAUUCAUUUGUUUUCGGCACAUAUGCAAAUUCAUCAUUUCCACACGAGGAAGAGAUUACUAAGGAAGCACACACAAAAAAAUAUGCUAAACAAUAUCAGAGUUGUGUACCUUGUGAGCAGGUUACAAAGCAGAAAGCAAAUUAUGAAAACUCCACUGAGGCCGAUCAAGGUUGUGAUGUAUCAUCGUUCCCAUAUAAUCAACCUACUAAUAAGAUAUAACAUAUGUGGUUGGAGGAAACAUGCUUGGAGAUGAAUAUUGUGAUGUUCUUAUUAACGGUCCUACACCAACUGUGGAUGAAAAAUUGCCGAGACCAUAUAAAGAUAUUGAAACUUUCAAAGAUGCUUUGGGUCAUGUUAUCGCUUGUCCUAGGUUCUAUAUCAAAAAGAAGAAAAUCGAGCUCAAACCAGACAAAUGAUGACCUGGUUAUAUGUGAAGCUAUGUAGGGCAGAGAUGGAGAUGGGCAAAGCAUUAGUUUCCGCCUCAAAAAAUCUAUGAAGUGAUAUUUUUGAGAGACAAUUGUAAUAUAGGGUUUUAUGAUUUUCCCCGAACAUGAUAUUUCCCAAUGUAUCUAUGAAUUAUCAAUAUGGAUAUUCUAUUCAGUUUCAAAUUUCCUUUA